rnacentral:rRNA from 1 species
GAUGAACGCUGGCGGCGUGCCUAAUACAUGCAAGUCGAGCGAACGGACGAGAAGCUUGCUUCUCUGAUGUUAGCGGCGGACGGGUGAGCAACACGUGGAUAACCUACCUAUAAGACUGGGAUAACUUCGGGAAACCGGAGCUAAUACCGGAUAAUAUUUUGAACCGCAUGGUUCAAAAGUGAAAGACGGUCUUGCUGUCACUUAUAGAUGGAUCCGCGCUGCAUUAGCUAGUUGGUAAGGCAACGGCUUACCAAGGCAACGAUGCAUAGCCGACCUGAGAGGGUGAUCGGCCACACUGGAACUGAGACACGGUCCAGACUCCUACGGGAGGCAGCAGUAGGGAAUCUUCCGCAAUGGGCGAAAGCCUGACGGAGCAACGCCGCGUGAGUGAUGAAGGUCUUCGGAUCGUAAAACUCUGUUAUUAGGGAAGAACAUAUGUGUAAGUAACUGUGCACAUCUUGACGGUACCUAAUCAGAAAGCCACGGCUAACUACGUG